GACGAACGCUGGCGGCGUGCCUAACACAUGCAAGUCGAACGGAAAGGCCCUGCUUUUGUGGGGAGCUCGAGUGGCGAACGGGUGAGUAACACGUGAGUAACCUGUCCCUGACCUUGGGAUAUCUUCAGGAAACUGGGGCUCUUCCCGGCUAGGAGCUCCUGCUGCUUGGUGGGGGCUGGUAAGUUUCGGUGGUUGGGGGUGGACUGGCGGCUUAUCGGCUUGUUUGUGUGGUAGUGGCUUACCAUGGCCUUGACAGGUAGCCGGCCUGAGCGGGGAACCUGCCACAUUGCGACUGGGAUACGACCCAGACCCCAACGGGAGGCAGCGGUGGAGAGUAUUACACAAUGGACGGGAGCCAGAUGCGACAACGCCGCGUGCGGGAUGACGGCCUUCGGGUUGUGAACCACUGUCGCCUGAGACGAGGCGUGAGUGACGGUAAUGGGUAAAGAAGCACCGGCUAACUACGUG
rnacentral:rRNA from 1 species